rnacentral:lncRNA from 1 species
GUGGCAACAUCAUUUUGGGGGCCAUUUUCCUAAGGAAAGGAGGAAAAUCGGUCAAUAGGGUAGAAAGGGAUGAGAGAUGGAUGGAAAUGAAGAGGAGAGGAGGGUUUAAGAGUGUUUUUCACAGAUUUUGCAGGUUAGGAUUUGAAAUUUGGUGGAGAUCAGGAAGGUAAGUCGUGAGAGGGAGAGAGAUUGCUUAAGGAUUUAGGAUGACAGUCUAAGGUUUUGUGUGGUUUUAACAUCGGUG